AUUUCCAUUUCCCCCUCUUCCCCCAAAACUUUUCCCUCCUCUCCCACCCACCAGGCCACCACCACCAAAUACAGCUCCUGCCACCACCAUCCGGCCAAUCUCACGCGGGUUGGUCGCCUCCGCCCUCUCCCCCCUUCGUUGAGGGUAAAUCAUCCCGGAGCAACCCACGACCCGAGCCACCACCACCAGGAGACUUGCGCCUGCCUCAUCCAUAUUGCUAAGGGAUUUCACUACUUUGGACGUCGUAGACGAUGCUGAGAAACUAGAGGAACUCAAGGUGAAAGGAAAAAAAACAACUCAGGCCCGAAUCGCUCUCCUGCGCUUACUUAAGAGUCAUCUUCACCUCUAACAUAGCCAACCCUUUUAUCCUAUCUGAAAUGUUGGUGGUCAUUUUCAUCUUGCAUGAAUUAAGGCAGCUGGGAGCAAGUUCAUCUAGUUAUAUCCAUUUCAAUGAACAUUCAUUUGGUCAUGUUUUCUUUGUUCAACAAUAAUGGGUAUGCCUAUAUAUGGUUGUAAUUGAAAAUAAAUAUUUGAUUAUCUUCCGAAAAGAGACGAGACUUCUCAGU